GUAUUUUAUAUAUCAAGGCAAAUAAAGCCCUGCCAGAAUACAGACAAUGUCAAAUGUUUAAAAAAGCCAACAUAGGUUUUAUCAACUUCGAAACCUUGCAGACCGUUUCCAGUUGCAAGGAUCAGAGAAGCCACCUACAGAUGGUGCACAAGGUGAAAGUAUUGGAGAAAUCAUAAGAGGCGUGCACAUCUACCCCUUCAAUGAAGAGGUCAGCAACAACCUCGAUGACUAUUCGAUAAUGAUCCUUCCGCAGGUUCACCUACGGAAA
rnacentral:misc_RNA from 1 species